rnacentral:snoRNA from 1 species
CCCCUCUCAGGGUUGCACCUGGGGCAUUACCAGGACUCUACCAGUCUCAGCUACAGGAGGGAGAGUCAAGCAGAGGCCUACCCAUUCCAUUCCUAGCUUGGGCAGUGGCUAGCAAGUGGAAGGCAAUCUGCUACAAGU